rnacentral:rRNA from 1 species
UACGUAGGGUGCGAGCGUUGUUCGGAAUUACUGGGCGUAAAGAGCUCGUAGGUGGUUUGUCGCGUUGUCCGUGAAAACUCACAACUCAAUUGUGGGCGUGCGGGCGAUACGGGCAGACUGGAGUACUGCAGGGGAGACUGGAAUUCCUGGUGUAGCGGUGGAAUGCGCAGAUAUCAGGAGGAACACCGGCGGCGAAGGCGGGUCUCUGGGCAGUAACUGACGCUGAGGAGCGAAAGCGUGGGGAGCGAACAGG